GUGGGGAAUCUUCCGCAAUGGACGAAAGUCUGACGGAGCAACGCCGCGUGAAUGAAGAAGGUUUUCGGAUCGUAAAGCUCUUUCGUUAGGGACGAACGUGCUCUUUGUGAAUAAUGAGGAGUAAUGACGGUACCUAAAUAAGAAGCCACGGCUAACUACGUGCCAGCAGCCGCGGUAAUACGUAGGUGGCAAGCGUUGUCCGGAAUUAUUGGGCGUAAAGCGCGCGCAGGCGGGAUAUCAAGUCUGUCUUAAAAGUGCGAGGCUCAACCUCGUGAGGGGACAGAAACUGGUAUUCUUGAGUGUCGGAGAGGAAAGUGGAAUUCCAAGUGUAGCGGUGAAAUGCGUAGAGAUUUGGAAGAACACCAGUGGCGAAGGCGACUUUCUGGACGAUGUCUGACGCUGAGGCGCGAAAGCUAGGGGAGCGAACGGGAUUAGAUACCCGGGUAGUCC
rnacentral:rRNA from 1 species